ACCAACCCGAUGCAAACUGCGAAUACCGGAGAAUGUUAUCACGGGAGACACACGGCGGGUGCUAACGUCCGUCGUGAAGAGGGAAACAACCCAGACCGCCAGCUAAGGUCCCAAAGUCAUGGUUAAGUGGGAAACGAUGUGGGAAGGCCCAGACAGCCAGGAUGUUGGCUUAGAAGCAGCCAUCAUUUAAAGAAAGCGUAAUAGCUCACUGGUCGAGUCGGCCUGCGCGGAAGAUGUAACGGGGCUAAACCAUGCACCGAAGCUGCGGCAGCGACGCUUAUGCGUUGUUGGGUAGGGGAGCGUUCUGUAAGCCUGCGAAGGUGGCCUGUGAGGGUUGCUGGAGGUAUCAGAAGUGCGAAUGCUGACAUAAGUAACGAUAAAGCGGGUGAAAAGCCCGCUCGCCGGAAGACCAAGGGUUCCUGUCCAACGUUAAUCGGGGCAGGGUGAGUCGACCCCUAAGGCGAGGCCGAAAGGCGUAGUCGAUGGGAAACGGGUUAAUAUUCCCGUACUUGGUGUUACUGCGAAGGGGGGACGGAGAAGGCUAUGUUGGCCGGGCGACGGUUGUCCCGGUUUAAGCGUGUAGGCUGGUUUUCCAGGCAAAUCCGGAAAAUCAAGGCUGAGGCGUGAUGACGAGGCACUAC
rnacentral:rRNA from 1 species